rnacentral:rRNA from 1 species
AUUGAACGCUGGCGGCAUGCUUUACACAUGCAAGUCGAACGGUAACAGGGGGCUUGCUCCGCUGACGAGUGGCGAACGGGUGAGUAAUGCGUCGGAACGUGCCGAGUAGUGGGGGAUAACGCAUCGAAAGGUGUGCUAAUACCGCAUACGAACUGAGGUUGAAAGUGGGGGACCUUCGGGCCUCACGCUAUUCGAGCGGCCGACGUCUGAUUAGCUAGUUGGUGAGGUAAAGGCUAACCAAGGCGACGAUCAGUAGCGGGUCUGAGAGGAUGAUCCGCCACACUGGGACUGAGACACGGCCCAGACUCCUACGGGAGGCAGAAGUGGGGAAUUUUGGACAAUGGGCGCAAGCCUGAUCCAGCCAUGCCGCGUGUCUGAAGAAGGCCUUCGGGUUGUAAAGGACUUUUAUCCGGGAGCAAAUGCUGGUGGCUAACAUCCACCGGAGCUGAGAGUACCGGAAGAAUAAGCACCGGCUAACUACGUGCCAGCCGCCGCCGUAACAC